UGGAAGUAAAAGUCGUAACAAGGUUUCCGUAGGUGAACCUGCGGAAGGAUCAUUAAAAAAUAUCACAUUGUUUGUGAUUUAAUAAUCAUCCUACCCUUUGUGAAUUUGUUUUUGUUUGAAAUUUAUGUUGUCUAUCCUGGAUUAUGAAAGAAAAGUUGUAAAAGACUUUUUUUCAUUCUAGGGAAUAGGCUUUCAUAGACAUUUUUUUAAAUUAAACUUUUUGUAUUCAUCUGUCUAAAAUUUAUUUUUAAAUAAUUUAAAAACAACUUUUGACAAUGGAUCUCUUGGUUCUCGCAACGAUGAAGAACGCAGCAGAAUGCGAUAAGUAAUGUGAAUUGCAGAAUACGAGAAUCAUCAAAUUUUCGAACGCAUAUUGCACUUUUUUAGUUUACUAAAAAGUAUGUCUGUUUGAGUAUCAGUAAAAUAUUCUCAUAAAAACUAUUGUUUUAUGGUUAUGAGUGUUUUACAACGAUAACAAGUUGUUCACUUUAAAUUGAUUUUUUUAAUAAGCCAAUUUGGUUUUAUUUUUAAAAUUGGAUAAAAUUUUCCCGUAAAAAGGAAUAAACUUUUCAGUUUUAAAGUUAAAACUUAAAUUGACCUACAAAAAGGGAAAUUUAAUUAUAAAACUAACUUGAUCUCAAAUCAGAUAAGAGUACCCGCUGAACUUAAGCAUAUCAAUAAGCGGAGGAAAGAGACUAACAAGGAUUCCUUAGUAACGGCGAGUGAAGCGGGAAGAGCUCAAAUUUGAAAUCUUCAAGGUUCUACCUUGACGAAUUGUAGUUUAAAGAAGUGUUUUCUGUUAGUGGAGUGGCAAAAGUUCUUUGGAAUAGGACAUCAUAGAGGGUGAGAAUCCCGUAUUUGGUCAUUCCUUCUAGCUUUGUGAUACACUUACAAAGAGUCGGAUUGUUUGGAAUGCAGUCCAAAAUGGGUGGUAAAUUUCAUCUAAAGCUAAAUAUUGGCGAGAGACGAUAGCGAACAAGUACCGUGAGGGAAAGAUGAAAAGAACUUUGAAAAGAGAGUUAAACAGUACGUGAAAUUGUCAAAGGGAAGCGUUUGACACCAGUGUUGUUUUUCCGAAAAUCAAUUAUAAAUGUUUUGUUUCUGAGGAGUGAUGACUUCAUCGGCUUCCUUCUCUCUUCACGAACUUUUGUAAUGCACUUUUCGGUUAACAAGUCAACAUCAAUUCUUUUGUUGUAAAAGAGUAUUCGGAAGGUGGCUUUCUUUUCGGAGAAAGUGUUUAUAGCCUAUACUUCUACAAUCGGAGAGAUUGAGGUCUGCAGCGUAGAUCCUUCGGGUUAGAUACACUUGUGCUAAGUUAUAGCUUUUCAUAGACAACUUGUUGACUAUGUUUAGUCAUGUAGCUUACUCGCUUAUGCUAUUUUACCUACGCUUAGGAUG
rnacentral:misc_RNA from 1 species